GACGUAACGCUGGCGGCGUGCUUAACACAUGCAAGUCGAACGGGGCUGCUAUGAUGGAGUUUUCGGACAACUGAUUAGUAUGCCUAGUGGCGGACGGGUGAGUAACGCGUGAGUAACCUGCCUUUCAGAGGGGGACAACAGCUGGAAACGGCUGCUAAUACCGCAUAAUAUAUACAGGUCGCAUGAUUUGUAUAUCAAAGAUUUAUCGCUGAAAGAUGGACUCGCGUCUGAUUAGCUAGUUGGCGGGGUAACGGCCCACCAAGGCGACGAUCAGUAGCCGGACUGAGAGGUUGAACGGCCACAUUGGGACUGAGAUACGGCCCAG
rnacentral:rRNA from 1 species